rnacentral:tRNA from 1 species
AGCAGCGUGGCUCAGUGGAAAGAGCCCGGGCUUGGGAGUCAGAGGUCAUGGGUUUGAAUCCCGGUGCUGCCA